CUUUGCGGUGCAACAUAAAUCUGCCCGUCUCGAGGAUCUGCUUAGGGUUUCCAUUAUCAGCUUUCAUUCGCGAGUCACCUCUCCCUCUCUCAGCCGCUCUGCACUGCCGACGGAGGCCGCUUCCAUGGCGGAGGAGCUCCGCUGCUCUUCUCGACCCGACAACAAGCGAAAGUUCGGCGAUCGAUCCGCGAGGGGCUCCCUCUCGCCGCCGGCGAGGCGGUCGACGGGCUUCUCGGCACCGAUCGCCUCGUCGUCCCCCGAGGGUGGCGCCCCCAUCCAACCAUCCUACAAUAGCGUCUCCCUGCCCCUCGAUGGGAUCGAGCUUGCGAAGCAACGGGCCCAGGAGAUCGCCGCGAGGCUUUUCAGCGACGCUGAGGCCAAGCGCCCUAGGAUUGAGGACGGAGGAGGCGUGGAAGAUUCGAGAGAAAAGGGUUUUGGCUCUUUUCCGAAUGAUUUUGCAAAGAAGCCUUUUAGCCAUCCUAUACCUUCCCAGGUUGGCAUGACUUCCCAGUCAUUUCACACGUAUGGUUAUCAGGGUACAAGCAAAACGAUUGAGAUCCCGAAUGGAAGGGUUGGCGUAGUCAUUGGCAAAAGUGGAGAGACAAUUAAAUAUCUUCAGCUUCAAUCGGGAGCAAAGAUUCAAGUUACUAGAGAUUUGGAUGCAGAUCCUAAUUCACAGACUAGAUCGGUAGAACUUGUUGGUACCUCUGAACAGAUUAGAAAGGCUGAGCAGUUAAUAAAUGAUGUGCUUGCUGAGGCUGAUGCUGGGGCUUCUGGCAUCAAUUCAACUCGUAAACAUGGCAGUGUUCAACCUGGUGCUGAGCAAUUUCAGAUGAAAGUUCCAAACAACAAGGUUGGUCUGGUGAUUGGCAAAGGUGGUGAGACCAUAAAAAAUAUGCAAGCUAGAUCUGGUGCACGUAUCCAGGUGAUGCCUUUGCAUCUAUCACCUGGUGAUACAUCAACUGAAAGAACAGUGUAUAUAGAUGGGACAAAUGAGCAGAUUGAAUCAGCAAGACAAUUGGUCAAUGAAGUUAUUAGUGAGAAUCGUACAAGGAAUACAGCUAUGUCUGGAGGGUAUCCUCAGCAAGGUUACCAUCCACCUCGUCCUUCGACAAGUUGGGGUCUGCCUGGUGCACCUCCCAUGCAGCCGCCUGGUUAUGGUUACAUGCCUCCUGGAUCUUAUCCUGGGCCACCACCUCAGUCUAAUAUGCCCCAGCCACCUUAUGGUGGCUACCCCACACCUGCAUCGACAGGUUUCUCUUCUGGGUGGAACCAAACACCCAAUCAGCCUACUCAGCAAACUGCACCAGGAGCUGGAUAUGAUUAUUACAAUCAACAAUCACAGCAGCAGCAGCAGCGACAACAACCUCUUGGGGGAUCUUCUGCGCUUGCGGAUAGCACAAGUUACAACUAUGGACAGCCUCUUCCUGAUUACAACAAUCAAGUGUCCUAUGGUGAUGCUGCUUACACCCAGGCUUCUAUGGGGCAACAAGGUUAUGUGCAGGAUGGAUACUCCAGUGUCUAUAAUUAUUCCGCAUCUCAACCUGGUUAUUAUCAGCCUACAUUGGACCCCCAAAAUGGAUUUGAUCAACAGGGCUAUGGUUCAGCUUUUGGCUACGGAACGGUGGCUAAUCCAUGUGAAGAUGGAUCCGCCUCUGCUUACAGUGCUGAGGGUGGGUCUACUCAAGCACCUCCAACUCAACAAGCCCCUUCAAGUCAGCCUUCUGCUACCCAAGGGUACACAGGUCAACCACCACAAACACCAAUUAGUACCACUGCAAGUUAUCCUACCCAAGGAACAGCACCAUCUGGAUAUGGUAUUCCCCCAACAUCACAGCUAGGACAUGGGAGUCAGAUCCCUACUAUGGCUGGAUAUGGCCAAGUACCAUCUCCUAGUUAUGGGCAGCCUUCUCAGGUCCAGGACCCGCCAGGUACUCAGGGUGUUUAUCAACAAGGUCAACAGACUGUGUCUACUGAAGCUGGCUGUAUGCAGAGUGCUCCCGUGCAACCAGGAUAUAAACAACCUCCAUCAUCUCAAGCUGGUUAUGGGCAACAACAAACCUAUGGCGUGUCACCGCAUAACCAACCAGGUUAUGGUCCACAACAGCAGCAACCAUACAGCGAUUCUUAUGUUGGUGAUGUCCAUUCACAGCCUCCUGCAUACUCUAAUGACAAUGCUGCACAAGGGGCCUAUGAUGCAUCUACUGCUCCACCUGCUGUUUCAAGUGGUGCAGCAAUAACUAAGUCACCCACAACUUGAUAUUGCCUGGGUUAUCCGGACUUUCACUGGUAUUCAUGUGUCUCGGACCCUCGUUGGAGAUUGAAGUGCUAUCUGCCCAAGAAAGGCAAUUUGUUGUGGUUAAUCAAACAGAAAUUUGUUCUGGUUAAUCAAACAGACAUUCCUGGUCGCUGUGAUGCUGGAUAGAUUGAACAGAACUUGAGAAAUGGCAGAAUCAAAUCUUUGAAGAAUGCUGAUGCUGCUUAUUGUUGGAUUCUUCUUGCCUGGUUCUGUAUUGGUGAGGUUGUUGGGGGUGCUCUGCACCAAUUUGAUGCUGAACCGUAUCAAGCCAACCCUCUGCGUUUGUCAUGUGGGUUGCCCAAGGUGGUUUCCUUCCCUGUUCAGGAGUCUGCCCACUAUAAUUUUAUUGUUCCAGCCUCAGUUUAGUUUGGAAAUGGAAAUUCCUAAAUUUUCUCAUGUUACUGCUGUCACGUAAGUUGGUCUCUCGAUGCAUGAGCUCUCGUUCGCCCACAAGAUGAUGCAGGCCACGAGAUUCUCUUGCUAUCAUAUGCAUCAUCCUAGAAACAUUUGGCACGAAUAAUGAUGUGAGAACAAGUGGGGCUUCAAACUUUGGGGGCUCCAUCAGAAGUUGAGCAAGUAUACCGGAGGCAAGCAGCAGUACAAUCAUCUACCUUUGCCGACGGAAACUUGGACUUCCACGCGUUACGUGCUGCUUCCACCAACGUCUUCGAUGCAUCCUCGUCGGUCUCGGUGGACCAAACAAUCGACACCACCUCCUCGUUGCUAAGCGCAUCCCACACCUUCAACACACGAAGCCUUCCAUCAAGCAGAGACCACGGAGAAAAGAAAACAGUGAUCAACCUUCUCACCCCGUCGGUCGCGAGGACUAUGAACAGAUCUCUGCUCGUCACACGGCGAUGAGCCACCUGAGGGACCGAGAUGAUGCCGUAGUUCUUAAGCUGGAAGUCCCCGAGAGCGCGGGCCAUGGCGAGCCCGGGGAAGUCCUCGUCGGGCAACCACACGCGUUGGAUGUGCGGCUCUCUCUCGAGCGCGAACACCCGCCCGUUGCUCUUCCUUAUCCUCUCUGCUUCCUCUGCAUCGUGGAAUCCACAGCGGAUCAGUACAACGUUCACUGGGAUCAUCCAACCUUCACAAACAACAACAGUACUUACGAGGUACGCUGGGCUUCAGGUCUGUUGUCAGCUGAAUCGCCUCGAGGUGACCCUCCUCUGAUACGGUUCCCACGACAGCCCUCGAGUCGCCAAGGUUGGCAAUGAUCAGAUCUUCCCCCUGUGACGGAAGGUGAUUCAUGAUCGAAGAUGAGGUAUCCCAACACAAGAAAUGCUUUGGAGUCGUGCUGUACCUGCUUGAUGACGGAGACUGCUGUGGUUCCACUGAAGGAGCAAUCUAAGUUUGGCCUCACCUUGAGUUCUUCGUCCAUGGUUGUGAAGGCGUUGAUGCAAGCCUCUUUCCACUCAUCAAGCACCUCCUCGCCAUCCGUUGAGCUCGUGUCAUUGCCAUCGGUGAAUUCGUCGUCUUCCUGGGCGAGCAGGCGGGCGUUGCGUUCGCCAAGCAACAAGUCUGGCAGAUGGAUGAUCGACUUAGCUGCAGAUUCUGAAGGCAAGUGGCUUCGUCACCCAUGCAAGGUCAGAAUCUUCGUUGACCGGAAUAUCCAAAUCCCUCUAAGGCUCUUACAGUUGACCAACCGUGCCAAGAACCCAAUGGGAACGAUGGCUGAGAGACGCAGAGAAGCUGUUGAAGCAAAUCCGCGUGUGCUCUGAGGGAAGCAAACGAUUUGUAGACGGCACCACAAGCCGAAUGAUGAAGUAGCACAGCGGAUGGCAGUAAGCACCUGACACUUGGCCUCGUCAAUGGAUAUAAUAUUAUUAUGGCUUGCCGUCUCAGAGUCUCUUUGUCCCUCCAGAAUUUAGUAUAGCAUAUACAUAUCACUUCAUAAUAAUGAAUUGGAGUUUCAACAUUA